UACAGGGGGGGCAAGCGUUGUUCGGAAUUACUGGGCGUAAAGGGCUCGUAGGCGGCCAACUAAGUCACACGUGAAAUCCCCAGGCUUAACCUGGGAACUGCGUGUGAUACUGGAUGGCUUGAAUUCGGGAGAGGGAUGCAGAAUUCCAGGUGUAGCGGUGAAAUGCGUAGAUAUCUGGAGGAAUACCGGUGGCGAAGGCGGCAGCCUGGACCGACAUUGACGCUGAGGAGCGAAAGCUAGGGGAGCAAACGGG
rnacentral:rRNA from 1 species